GUACUUCUUGAUCCUUUGCCCCAUUGGGCGAGAGGUGUAGCGACUGGCCUUGAGCCAUGCUUCUUGAUUCUUCACCCCAAUGGGCGGGAGGUGUAGCGAUCGGCUCAAGGCCAUGCUUAAUGAUCCUUCACUCCCUUGGGUUAAAGGUAUGGAAAGAGUGUUAGGCGGAAGGAUGUCUCGCUCGAGGAGCAUUGGGUGUGAGGACAGGCGGCCUUUGAGGCAUGAAGUUCAUGUGACGGCCGAGUGCUAAACUUAAAGAGAGUUAACUGAGCGUUGGUAUACGAAGGAUGAGUGCAUUGUCUUGAUAAGCAGUGGCCUGACGAUUGAGUGUUUCCAUCUGAGCUGCUUCAGUACUAUGGAGGGAGAGAGUUUAUUUUCUUAGCUAAAGUCCAAAGUGGACUUGGUGCCAGCUUCCAAUUGCAGCAUAAUUGUACUAGAAAAUAAGGACACCUAUUUUCAUCUUCAUGCAUGUUCUCCCUUCCUAGCAAGAGGAAGAAAUACAUUGAACACAAUAUAAUAAUACUUUUAUUGAACUCCCUAAGCAUUUGAUUGCGUAAUUAGGGGCUCAGUUCCAUUCCUCUCUUUUUUUUUUUGGGCUAUUUGAGAUUCUUCAAUUUGCAUUCAAAUUUGAUUGCGUAUUUAUUUAUUUUUAGGCUAGAUCUUCAAUGCCUUGUCCUUGUAGCAAGCGGCCUCAGGAGGAGCCAGCUAAGAGACUCGAUCAACGAGUUCGAUCAUAGCCAGAGGGUGUGGAUGGCUCGACAGAUCACUGCGAUUGACAUUCAUUCCACCAGAUUAUGUUGACGCUCAAGGGAACUAUUGACGUUAACGGAUGGCUAAUGGCCAAGUCCUCACAUUUGAGCAGUGCACUGGCUCAAUAGGGUCAUCCUAGGCGAUGAACGGCAGACUAUGAGGAUGUCACCCACUGGAGGUCGAGCAAUGGGAGUGAUUGAUCCCGUGAGGUCGUUCAGGUUGCGGUCAAUGAACAAUUAGACUGAGCGGUUGGGUUGGGGACGGUUUGGUGCCUGCACUGUGUCUCUCUGUAGGUUGGCCACCUAUGCUUGACGGCUAAGUAAGCUAGUGUNNNNNNNNNNNNGCUGAGGCGCUAGGCAUUUGCAGGGGUGGAUGAGGCUUGGCAGAGUGCUGAAUUGCGGAGAUUCGUCCGUCCAUGACAUGCAUUGUUGUUUAGCAUCGAGCAACAACUCAUUCGCUAUGGACGGCCACUAAGGCCGACGAUGCGGUUGCUGUGCGAACUUUGAAAGGGAAUCAGGUUAAAAUUCCCGAACCACAAUGCGGUGGUUGACGGCAACGCUAGGGAGUCCAGAGACGUCAGCGAGGGCCUCGGGAAGAGUUAUAUUUUCUGUUUAACAGCCUGCCCACCCAGGAAACGACUCAAUUGUAGGUAGGGUCCAGCUGCUAAAAGAGCACUGCACGUCGUGUGGUGUCCAGUGCGCCCUCGGCGGCCCUUGAAAAUCGGUAGGAUCGAGUACCGACUAUGCGCGAUCGUACUCAUAACUGCAUCGGGCCUCCAAGGUGAACAACCUCUGGUCGAUGGAACAAUAUAGGCAAGAAAAGUAGGCAAAAUGGAUCCGUAACUUUGGGAAAAGGAUUGGCUCUGCAGGCUGGGCACAAGGUCCCAGUUCCGAACCCGUCAGCUAUCGGCGGACUGCUCGAGCUGCUCGCAUGGCGAGAGCGGGUUGCCGCGUGCCGGCCGGGGGACGGACUGGGAAUGGCCCAUUUGGGGGCCUUCCCCGUGCGUCGAACAGUCAACUCAGAACUGGUACAGACAAGGGGAAUCCGACUGUUUAGUUAAAACAAAACAUUUUGAUGGUCCCUGCUGAUGUUAACAUAAUGUGAUUUCUGCCGAGUGCUCUGAAUGUCAAAGUGAAGAAAUUCAACCAAGCGCGGGUAAACGGUGGGAGUAACUAUGACUCUCUAAAGGUAGCCAAAUGCCUCGUCAUCUAGUUAGUGACGUGCAUGACAGGAUUAACGAGAUUCUCACUGUCCCUGUCUACUAUCUAGCGAAACCACAUCCCAGGGAACAGGCUUGGCGGAAUCGGCAGGGAAAGAAGACCCUGCUGAGCUUGACUCUAGUCCGACUUUGUGAAAUGACUUGAGAGGUGUAACAUAAGUGGGAGCUUUGGCGCAAGUGAAACAUCAAUACUUUUAACGUUAUUUUGCUUACUCCUUGAGUCGGAGGCAGGGCAUCGCCCUUCUUUUUGGACCUAAGGCUCGUUUUGCAGGCCAAUCUGGGCGGAGGACACUGUUAGGUGGGGAUUUUGGCUGGGGCAGCACAUCUGUUGAAAGAUAACGCAGGUAUCCUAAGAUGAGCUCAAUGAGAAUAGAAAUCUUGUGUGGAACAGAAGGGUAAAAGCUCAUUUGAUUCUGAUUUUCAGUACGAAUAUGAACGGUGAAAGCGUAGCCUAACGAUCCUUUAGACCUUCGAAUUUGAAGCUAGAGGUGUCAAAAAAGUUACCACAGGGAUAACUGGCUUGUGGCAGCCAAGCGUUCAUAAUGACAUUGCUUUUUGAUUCUUCAAUGUCGGCUCUUCCUAUUGUUGUGAAGCAGAAAUCACCAAGUAUUGGAUUGUUCACCCACCAAUAGGGAACCUGAGCUGGGUUUAGACUGUCGUGAGAUAGAUUAGUUUUACCCUACUUAUGACAGUGUCGUGAUGGUAAUUCAAUCUAGUACAAGAAGAACCAUUGAUUCAUAGAAUUGGUUAUCGCACUUGGUUAAAAAUCCAGUGGCGCCAAGCUAGCAUGCGAUAGAUUAUGACUGAACGCCUCUAAGUCAGAAUCUAGGCCAAAAGCAACACAUUUGCCUGCCAACCAAUUGCCGACUUACAGUAGGGGCCUCGCCCCCCAAAGGCACGUGUAGUAGGCUAACCCAGUGUUGUGGGUACGCCGCGAGGGCUGCCUUGAAGUACAAUUCCUAUCGAGCGGUGGGUUGAAUCCUUUGCAGACGACUUAAGUACGCGAU
rnacentral:rRNA from 1 species